ACGGGUGUAGCUCAAUUGGUAGAGUAGUGGUCUCCAAAACCAUUGGUUGGGAGUUCGAGUCUCUCCUCCCGUGCAA
rnacentral:tRNA from 4 species